rnacentral:rRNA from 1 species
UCGAAAGUAUGGGUAGCAAACAGGAUUAGAUACCCUGGUAGUCCAUACCGUAAACGAUGAAUGCUAAGUGUUGGAGGGUUUCCCCCUUCAGUGCUGCAGCUAACGCAUUAAGCAUUCCGCCUGGGGAGUACGGCCGCAAGGCUGAAACUCAAAGGAAUUGACGGGGGCCCGCACAAGCGGUGGAGCAUGUGGUUUAAUUCGAAGCUACGCGAAGAACCUUACCAGGUCUUGACAUACUAUGCAAAUCUAAGAGAUUAGACGUUCCCUUCGGGGACAUGGAUACAGGUGGUGCAUGGUUGUCGUCAGCUCGUGUCGUGAGAUGUUGGGUUAAGUCCCGCAACGAGCGCAACCCUUAUUAUCAGUUGCCAGCAUUAAGUUGGGCACUCUGGUGAGACUGCCGGUGACAAACCGGAGGAAGGUGGGGAUGACGUCAAAUCAUCAUGCCCCUUAUGACCUGGGCUACACACGUGCUACAAUGGAUGGUACAACGAGUUGCGAACUCGCGAGAGUAAGCUAAUCUCUUAAAGCUAUUCUCAGUUCGGAUUGUAGGCUGCAACUCGCCUACAUGAAGUCGGAAUCGCUAGUAAUCGCGGAUCAGCAUGCCGCGGUGAAUACGUUCCCGGGCCUUGUACACACCGCCCGUCACACCAUGAGAGUUUGUAACACCCAAAGUCGGUGGGGUAACCUUUAGGAACCAGCCGCCUAAGGUGGGACAGAUGAUUAGGGUGAAGUCGUAACAAGGUAACCA